UGCAAGUCGAGCGGUAGCACAGAGAGCUUGCUCUCGGGUGACGAGCGGCGGACGGGUGAGUAAUGUCUGGGAAACUGCCUGAUGGAGGGGGAUAACUACUGGAAACGGUAGCUAAUACCGCAUAACGUCGCAAGACCAAAGUGGGGGACCUUCGGGCCUCAUGCCAUCAGAUGUGCCCAGAUGGGAUUAGCUAGUAGGUGGGGUAACGGCUCACCUAGGCGACGAUCCCUAGCUGGUCUGAGAGGAUGACCAGCCACACUGGAACUGAGACACGGUCCAGACUCCUACGGGAGGCAGCAGUGGGGAAUAUUGCACAAUGGGCGCAAGCCUGAUGCAGCCAUGCCGCGUGUGUGAAGAAGGCCUUCGGGUUGUAAAGCACUUUCAGCGGGGAGGAAGGCGUUGAGGUUAAUAACCUUGUCGAUUGACGUUACCCGCAGAAGAAGCACCGGCUAACUCCGUGCCAGCAGCCGCGGUAAUACGGAGGGUGCAAGCGUUAAUCGGAAUUACUGGGCGUAAAGCGCACGCAGGCGGUCUGUCAAGUCGGAUGUGAAAUCCCCGGGCUCAACCUGGGAACUGCAUUCGAAACUGGCAGGCUAGAGUCUUGUAGAGGGGGGUAGAAUUCCAGGUGUAGCGGUGAAAUGCGUAGAGAUCUGGAGGAAUACCGGUGGCGAAGGCGGCCCCCUGGACAAAGACUGACGCUCAGGUGCGAAAGCGUGGGGAGCAAACAGGAUUAGAUACCCUGGUAGUCCACGCCGUAAACGAUGUCGAUUUGGAGGUUGUGCCCUUGAGGCGUGGCUUCCGGAGCUAACGCGUUAAAUCGACCGCCUGGGGAGUACGGCCGCAAGGUUAAAACUCAAAUGAAUUGACGGGGGCCCGCACAAGCGGUGGAGCAUGUGGUUUAAUUCGAUGCAACGCGAAGAACCUUACCUGGUCUUGACAUCCACAGAACUUUCCAGAGAUGGAUUGGUGCCUUCGGGAACUGUGAGACAGGUGCUGCAUGGCUGUCGUCAGCUCGUGUUGUGAAAUGUUGGGUUAAGUCCCGCAACGAGCGCAACCCUUAUCCUUUGUUGCCAGCGGUCCGGCCGGGAACUCAAAGGAGACUGCCAGUGAUAAACUGGAGGAAGGUGGGGAUGACGUCAAGUCAUCAUGGCCCUUACGACCAGGGCUACACACGUGCUACAAUGGCAUAUACAAAGAGAAGCGACCUCGCGAGAGCAAGCGGACCUCAUAAAGUAUGUCGUAGUCCGGAUUGGAGUCUGCAACUCGACUCCAUGAAGUCGGAAUCGCUAGUAAUCGUAGAUCAGAAUGCUACGGUGAAUACGUUCCCGGGCCUUGUACACACCGCCCGUCACACCAUGGGAGUGGGUUGCAAAAGAAGUAGGUAGCUUAAC
rnacentral:rRNA from 1 species